rnacentral:lncRNA from 1 species
CCCAGGGUAGGUCCCAAAACCCUCGCAGGACCCCCGGCUACCUCUCCUCUGCCUCUCACCCCCCGCUCAGGGUUGCGCCGGCAAGGAGUGGUAAUGCAAAGCGGCGUUUGGCCGCCGCCGGGAGAGUUUGCGCUUGGGGUACUGCGGGGCCAAGGAGCAGGGAGCCUCAGGGCGUAAGGACAGCGUCGCGCGUCCUUCUCGCCCACUGACAUCCCGGUCCUGCGGCGCUGCCGGGACGGAGAGCCCCAGCUCCGGCGCUGCGCAGCCUCGGGCUCUCCGCAGACCGCGGAGGGCGUUUUGGGGUGCGUCUGCAACCGUUUCUUUGCAUCGCGCGCUGCGGUUUGGCAGGAGGGCGCAGGAGCGGCGCAGCUGCUGGAGCGCGGUGGGUUUGCUGCACGCGGAGCGCUCUGCGUGCCUUCCCGCGGCCCCCGACGCGUGCCCUGACGGCCCAGCGCGACGCUCGGCUGCUGCUGAAGGCGGCCACCAAUAUCCCGUUAACUUCAGCUGGGCCGGGAUUCCUACAGGUUUUUACCGUCCCAUGCACAGGGUCAGCGGUGACGGAGGUCUGACCGGGGGCUCUUUGCCCAAGACACAGGCGGAGGAGAGGGACAGCGGGGCGCUCGCCGGAGCGACAGGCACACAGACCCGGGCAAACGCUGCUGCUGCCCACACUUCGUUCCAGCGGCCACUUUAACGAAGGCUUCUCUCAUCCGCAGCGCCAGGUGGUCGCUGGAGCUAAACGGGUGUUAACAGCCAAGCAAACAGGAGCGCGGGGCGCUGCACAGCCUGCCGAAGUCGCCGCUGCGCCCGAAGCGGUGCCUUCCUAGCAGCCCCAAGCAAAGCAAGCGUCCACGUUUCUAAGGCGAUAAAAAAAGCAGCCUUAUAAAAAAAUAUAUUUUCAGGUCUUCUAUUCAGCGCAGGGAAGCGAAACCUGGGCGUUUGCCCAAAUUUUUAUUUUCCUUUGCGGGUCACCUUUAAAAACUGAACAAAUGGAGGAUCUCAAUAUUGAAAUAGCAUAUGACUGGAAACUCGAUCAGCAGCUGAAAUCGCCGUGGCCUGCCUCCGACCAUCCCCGCCGGCGCUUCUCGCUGCGGCGCAGGAAGCCUGGGCCUCGCCGGUGCAGCGCGGCCGGGAGCCUGCGCUGGCAGCUGCUGAAGGGCUUCGGGCUCCGGCGAGUCCCUCCGGAUACGCUGUGCGGGAGAGAUAUGCCCUGACCUUUAAAASGCGGGACGUUUCAGGGGGGUGAUGCAAAUAUUGGCCCGGCUGAGGGAAAGUCCUUGCGCGGAAAAGCCCCGCGAAGGCUAGGCGCAGGUCUGCCCCUCCUCUCCGGGUCUGCGCUCCCGCCACGGCCCGCGUGCAGCGCCCGGCUCCCGCCCGGCCCCCCUCUACCUGCGCCGCAGCUGCCCCCUCGCUCGCCGCUGCGGCCCCCCUCCAGCCGGGGGUUGCCUCCAUCCGGCGAGCAAAUUAAAUAAAUCCUGAGCGUAUGCGGAUUUAUGACUUAAU